UAACCUUCACUUGUAUCCUUCUAACCUUCACUAUCCUUCUAACCUUCACUUGUAUCCUUCUAACCUUCACUUGUAUCCUUCUACCCUUCACUUGUAUCCUUCUACCCUUCACUUGUAUCCUUCUAACCUUCACUUGUAUCCUUCUAACCUUCACUUGUAUCCUUCUAACAAUUUCCUUCAGCUGUCCAUUAUUCUUUAUAAUUGACAGCUGAAAUUGACGGUACAUAAUUGAUAUUGAUAAAAGAUUUCCUUUCAUUUACUGGUAAUUCCUUGAUAUAAACAGAGACAUUUUGUUGAAGUUUCUGAAGUACUCAAUACAAAUGUUCAAAACUUUCUGCACACAGAUAUCAGAACGUGAGUUCUUAUUAUUGUGAUAUUCACCCAGUCCAAUUAUUCCCAUUAAUAAAAACCUUGCAAUAAUUUCUGAAUUUAUAGUACUUGUGUUCCCACCUUUCUGAGGAAGUGUCAGCUAUCUGAGAAGUAUGUCAUAGGUAAGGAUUUAGUUCUUGUGUUCCUACCUUUCUGUGGAAGUGUCGUUAAUCUGAGAAGUAUGUCAUAGGUAAGGAUUUAGUACUUGUGUUCCUACCUUUCUGUGUAAGUGUCGUUAAUCUGAGAAGUAUGUCGUAGGUAAGGAUUUAGUACUUGUGUUCCUACCUUUCUGUGGAAGUGUCGUUAAUCUGAGAA